rnacentral:rRNA from 1 species
GACAAACGCUGGCGGAAUGUAUUAGGCAUGCAAGUCGCACGAACCUUCGGGUUAGUGGCGGACGGGUGAGUAACACGUGGGUAACCUGCCUCGUAGUGGGGAAUAACUCGCCGAAAGGCGAGCUAAUACCGCAUAACACCCCUGGUGUGAAUCCAGGUGGUAAAAGCUCCGGCGCUAUGAGAGGGGCCCGCGGCCGAUUAGCUUGUUGGUGGGGUAAUGGCCUACCAAGGCGACGAUCGGUAGCUGGUCUGAGAGGAUGGUCAGCCACACGGGGACUGAGAUACGGCCCCGACUCCUACGGGAGGCAGCAGCUAAGAAUCUUGCGCAAUGGGCGAAAGCCUGACGCAGCAAUUCCGCGUGGGGGACGAAGGCCCUCGGGUCGUAAACCCCUUUUGUGAGGGAAGAAGUUCUGACGGUACCUCACGAAUAAGACACGGCUAACUACGUGCCAGCAGCCGCGGUAAGUCUCGCGUGA